GAUGAACGCUAGCGGGAGGCCUAACACAUGCAAGCCGAGCGGUAUUGUUUCUUCGGAAAUGAGAGAGCGGCGUACGGGUGCGGAACACGUGUGCAACCUGCCUUUAUCUGGGGGAUAGCCUUUCGAAAGGAAGAUUAAUACUCCAUAAUAUAUUGAGCGGCAUCGUUUAAUAUUGAAAGCUCCGGCGGAUAGAGAUGGGCACGCGCAAGAUUAGCUAGUUGGUGAGGUAACGGCUCACCAAGGCGAUGAUCUUUAGGGGGCCUGAGAGGGUGAUCCCCCACACUGGUACUGAGACACGGACCAGACUCCUACGGGAGGCAGCAGUGAGGAAUAUUGGUCAAUGGGUGCAAGCCUGAACCAGCCAUCCCGCGUGAAGGACGACUGCCCUAUGGGUUGUAAACUUCUUUUGUAUAGGGAUAAACCUACCCUCGUGAGGGUAGCUGAAGGUACUAUACGAAUAAGCACCGGCUAACUCCGUGCCAGCAGCCGCGGUAAUACGGAGGGUGCAAGCGUUAUCCGGAUUUAUUGGGUCUAAAGGGUCCGUAGGCGGACUUAUAAGUCAGUGGUGAAAGCCUGUCGCUUAACGAUAGAACUGCCAUUGAUACUGUAAGUCUUGAGUAUAUUUGAGGUAGCUGGAAUAAGUAGUGUAGCGGUGAAAUGCAUAGAUAUUACUUAGAACACCAAUUGCGAAGGCAGGUUACCAAGAUAUAACUGACGCUGAGGGACGAAAGCGUGGGGAGCGAACAGGAUUAGAUACCCUGGUAGUCCACGCCGUAAACGAUGCUAACUCGUUUUUGGGCUUUAGGGUUCAGAGACCAAGCGAAAGUGAUAAGUUAGCCACCUGGGGAGUACGCUCGCAAGAGUGAAACUCAAAGAAAUUGACGGGGGCCCGCACAAGCGGUGGAUUAUGUGGUUUAAUUCGAUGAUACGCGAGGAACCUUACCAAGACUUAAAUGGGAAUUGACAGCUCUAGAAAUAGAGCUUUCUUCGGACAAUUUUCAAGGUGCUGCAUGGUUGUCGUCAGCUCGUGCCGUGAGGUGUUAGGUUAAGUCCUGCAACGAGCGCAACCCCUGUCACUAGUUGCCAUCAUUCAGUUGGGGACUCUAGUGAGACUGCCUACGCAAGUAGAGAGGAAGGUGGGGAUGACCUCAAACCAUCCCGGCCCUUACGUCUUGGGCCACACACGUAAUACAAUGGCCGGUACAGAGGGCAGCUACCCCAGCAAUGUGAUGCAAUUCUCGAAAAGCCGGUCUCAGUUCGGAUUGGAGCCUGCAACUCCAACCUAUGAAGCUGGAAUCGCCUAGUAAUC
rnacentral:rRNA from 1 species